CCCCUGGUGGUCUAGUGGUUAGGAUGUGGUGCCCUCACCGCCGUGGCCUGGGUUCGAUUCCCGGUCAGGGAA
rfam:Manacus vitellinus contig25436, whole genome shotgun sequence.